rnacentral:rRNA from 1 species
CGGAGCGGCGGGAUGGGUGAGUAACACGUGGGGACCGUGCCCCAUAGUCUGGGAUACCACUUGGAAACAGGUGCUAAUACCGGAUAAGAAAGCAGAUCGCAUGAUCAGCUUUUAAAAGGCGGCGUAAGCUGUCGCUAUGGGAUGGCCCCGCGGUGCAUUAGCUAGUUGGUAAGGUAAAGGCUUACCAAGGCGAUGAUGCAUAGCCGAGUUGAGAGACUGAUCGGCCACAUUGGGACUGAGACACGGCCCAAACUCCUACGGGAGGCAGCAGUAGGGAAUCUUCCACAAUGGACGCAAGUCUGAUGGAGCAACGCCGCGUGAGUGAAGAAGGUUUUCGGAUCGUAAAGCUCUGUUGCUGGUGCAGAAGGAUAGAGGUAGUAACUGGCCUUUAUUUGACGGUAAUCAACCAGAAAGUCACGGGCUAACUACGUGCCAGCAGCCGCGGUAAAU